rnacentral:miRNA from 1 species
AGGAGGUGUGAUCGCUUUG